rnacentral:lncRNA from 1 species
UAAAUUUAAAAAAAAAAUAGAUAGACGAUACACUACUUUCUUUAUUAUGAUACCAUUCUUCCCCUUUUUGACAUCAUAAAAAAAAGACUAAAAGAGGUAAGAUUUUUCAUGAUUGCAUAUCAGGUAUCAAUGUAAUAGUGCAUUCAUUCAAGUAUAAUAGGCAUUCAUCCAUUCAUUCAUCCAAAAAAAAAUGAGCCAAAUAAAAUGAUAAAAACCUUAUUCAUUAACACCAAAAAGAGAGAUUACAAGAGUCAUAAAGAGCAUAAAGCUCUCAUACAUCCAAUCUACAAAAUAUAACUAAGUAAUCUAAUACAAAAUGAUAAAAUCAGUAAGACUAGGCAUCGAGCACGAGAUCAAGAUAGGUGAAACAUGAUUAGCCUCGUCCUCGAUCGAAGGGUCUGGUCCGAGAGGAAGAUGUCGGAGGAUGGAAAGUAAUAGGCUGAACAAAGGCUGACUCACUAGAUGUAGAGGGUCUAGACUGAAGCUGAGUCCUGAUGGAAUCAAACUGAGACAAGAUCUCCCUCACAGUAAGUCGGAGCCCAUCUAGAUCAACAGAUAUGAAGUCUCUAGAGUCUCUGAUGUCUGUCUGAAGCAGCUCAAGAGAGGAAUGAAGCUGGCUGUGGAGUCUCUAUCUCUCGAGCCAGGUCAUCCAUCUGUGGUAUAGAAGA